CAACUGGCAGUUUUCACAGCCACAAAAAUUAAUUUAAAAAAAUAA
rfam:Oreochromis niloticus linkage group LG6, whole genome shotgun sequence.